rnacentral:lncRNA from 1 species
UUUUUGGUUUGAAUUGUGAACAGCGGGUUUGGUUUUAUUUGAAAAUGAAAUGAGUUUAUUAUUUAUUCAUGUUAAUCAUAAUAGAGAUUAAUCAAUUUAAACAAAUUAAUUAAAUAACUAAAUAAAAAUAACAAAAUUAAAUAAAAAGGGGUACAAACAUGUAUAUGGUGAUAUAAUAAAAAAAACAAAAAAUGGGAUUGAGGCCCAAAGAAAUAAAAAGAACAAAACAAACAAUAAAAAUAAGGGGGUGCAACCUAGAUCAAGGGAGUGACGUGAAGUAAAAACACAAAGGGCCCAACAGAGAGGCCCACUCGGUCACCAAUAAGGAAAAA